GAUAGAUAGUGAGAGAGAUAUAUAUAGAUAUUAUUGCCUUCAUCUUAUUUAUAUGUAAUUAGAUAAGACAUGAUACGGUUACAACUUAUCGAAGACAUGAAAUUAAAUAUAGGAAUGUGUGGAUGACACAUAUUAGGGCAGAAAAUUAAGUAGGUAGGAGUGCAUUAUCUUGUUGUCCUUGCCAGUAGUCAUAAAACUACCCUUAUAGUUUCUUGUUAUUUGAUUUAUACUAGUAUCUAUUAUUUCAUGUAAUUCGCUUAUACUUAGCAUUUUGUUGUACUACUGUUCUGAUACUAUUCAUUGUUUUUACUAUUUAUUGUCUCCUAUACUUUCAUUAUGUACUUUUUAGAUUGCUUCUGUCUUGAGUCGGGGGUCUAUAAACAACCUCUCUGCCUCACGUCUGAGGUAGAGGUAAGGUUUGUGUACACUUCGUUCUCCCUAAACCUCAUCAUGCGGAAGUACACUGAGUAUGUUGUCAUUGUUGUUGUUACUAUUUUUGUUCAUUUAUUUUUCGAAAAUGAUAUUUCUUUUAUAUGUUUAAAACUUUUUAAUUUUAAUUUUUCCAUCUUUUCCAAAUAAUACUCUCUUGUAGGAGGUAAUAUACUAGCUCACUUCGAUUGUUUACAUCAAAUAAUGUAACUUUAUGUAAUUAAAUAAUUUAAUAGAGUGAACAUAUAUAUUAAUAGCUCAUGAUUUAGUGAUAAUUCAUAGUGUGUUGAAACGUAUGUCAUGUAUUUAUUGAUUUAAUAUAUUUUAAGAUAAAUAAUUUCAAAAUUAUUUAUAUCACUCCAUAAUUAUAAUAAGAGUUUAAGUUUUGUGCAUGGUUAGGGUAUAAAAUAUUCUAUACUAUAGGUAAACUUAAUCUGUUAUUGCAGGUUAUCCCUUUUUUUAAAUAAAAAUUUAAAAAGAAAAAAUUGGGUAACCUAUAAUAGCAGAUAAAGUUUAUCUGAUUGUGUAGAAUAUUUUGUUAUAACAUCCUUAAUAUGAAAUAAAAAUCUCUCAAGAAAAGUCUAAGAUUAAAUGGUCCAUACAUUUGUGAAUUCCUUAUCAUUGUUCCCUUGAGGAUUAUUAUAAAAGGGUCAUCAUAUAAGCUUAUACUAUUUUAUUAGUUAAGCACCUCAUCAUAUACACGUAUAUCUUGUAAAAAUAAUAAAUAUAUUCCUUUUUCACCAUAUAUCUUUUGAAGCCAUGAAUCACAAAGCAUCUCUUUACUAUUCAUAGCCUUUUUUGUCUUAAUUUUUUUUGUCUAUCCUCAACAAACUCGAGGAGAUUGUUAGAAGGAAAAAUACCCUAUGAUCCAUUACACAAAGGACCAAUAUGCAAGAAGAAUAUCUAUGGCAAAUGUAUAGCCACUAAAAAACCACCCAUUGCAUUAAAACCAGCACCACAUGCUUCAAAACCUUGCCUUCCUUAUCCUUACAAAUGCAAUGGGAAACCAUAGAAGCAUAUCGGAGUUCGGUGCACAAAAUAUUCCGUAUUAACAGAAUCCAAAGAAGAGAUGCACCGUUUUAUGAUAUUUCUAUAAAUGCACUAUAUAUACACACAUAUAUAUGUGUGUACGCGUUAUGUGUGUUUAGUUUAUUGUCAGUAUUGUUAUACUAUUGUAUUUUGUUUUGGAAUUUUUGAAUUAUGUAACACUCAACGUACACUCAUUGUUUAUAUUAUAUCAAUAAAUGUGUACGAAAUAUUAUUAAUUAAUACA